rnacentral:rRNA from 1 species
AGCGAACGCUGGCGGCGUGCCUAACACAUGCAAGUCGAACGUGAAAGGGAGCAAUCCCACGUCAAGUGGCGUACGGGUGAGUAACACGUAGGUAAUCUACCCCAGACUCUGGAAUAACCGGCCGAAAGGCUGGCUAAUACUGGAUAGAGCGACGGAAUCCGUAAUUGGGUUUUUCGGGAAAGGGAGCCUGUAAAAAGGCCUUCGUUCUGGGAUGAGCCUGCGUCCCAUCAGCUAGUUGGUGAGGUAAAAGCUUACCAAGGCAAUGACGGGUAGCUGGUCUGAGAGGACGAUCAGCCACACUGGAACUGAAACACGGUCCAGACUCCUACGGGAGGCAGCAGUGGGGAAUCUUGCGCAAUGGACGAAAGUCUGACGCAGCAACGCCGCGUGAGGGAAGAAGGCCUUCGGGUUGUAAAGCUCUGUCGAGUGGGACGAAAAUGCUUGGAGUUCACAGCUCCAGGAACUGACGGUACCACUAAAGGAAGCACCGGCUAACUCCGUG